UGUUACCAAGGUUCCGCAUGCGCAGCGGGGCCAGAGGGAGAAGUAGCUGGGCAGGAAACCGGAGGCCGAAAAGGAGACGUGGAGGCAAAGGAGAGGCUGCAGCAGUCUACCAGACCCACGGGGCAAGCGGCUCCAGGAAGCCUUCACUCUGAAAGCCGGCAGACACGCAUGCCUGCCAACUGCCAUACUUCCACACUUAGGGAGGAGCCUUGCUUCGGCAAGAGCACGAAGAGGUCGGCAGUCGAUGGGAGGAGGAAAAAGACUUCAUGGAGGAGGUGUAUCGGGGUGUAUCUGAGCGCAUGCCGCCGCCCCAAUGGGUUUCGCACUCUAGAGCAGCCCAGGCCAAGCUCCCCGGCUUGGCCAUAGCCUCUGACCAUUCUUCAUAGACGGCAUUUUCACAAAGCAGAAACUCCCAGGAGCGGUGAGACUCCGAGGAAAGUGAACAAGACACCUAGAGAGAGAGCUGCUUUAUAGGAAUCAACUGGGCUGGGGAGCAAACCUCUAACCCCAUCUUGAAAGUCACUUAUCUAAGAAGUUACAUCUUGCCUGUCAGGCUUGGGCACGGAAGGAACUGAGAAAGUUUCCAGCUCCUGAAAAAGAUGAAGUGGGAAGGAAAGAAUAUUGAUCUGAAAAUAAAAUAAAACUCAAUCAAAAAUGUAAAAAUAAAAAAUCUUGACAUUGCUACUACUUCCCAGCAUUAACUAUGCUCCUGAAGGGCAGGAAUUGCUUUUUGUCUUUUUAUAUCCAGCAUCGAGGAUAACACUGUGUACAUACUGCAGUUUGUCGGGAAAAUUUCUAAGUCCGAUGGAGGAACAGAAGCAAAGAAGUCUCCAGGCUGAAGCCAAUAGGGUUAUUGAGAGAGCUUUAGUCCCACAAUAAAGUCGGUCAAUCAGGGGUUGGACCUUUAUACCGCUCCAGAGCUUGUAUGCUUAUACAUCCUACUAAUUAGAAGUAUCUAAAAUGAAAGCAUAUUCUUAGGAAAUAUGGAAACUGCCUAUGUGACAAAUAUCAGCAUUUUGCAAUACUCUUCUCAGUCUUCUUGUGGCAGAACCUUUACUCAGAAAAUUUUAAUUUCUAAGCUAUCUCUUUUAUGUAAUAGGCACAUUCCUCCUUUAGUCUCUGAUAAAAGAGAGGGUCUUUUCCUAAAGCUAACCCUGUACCUUUGAUUCCAUUUCCUCUUAACUUUUUCUGAUUAAGCAUCCUCACAAUCAUCUUUUUUUUUUUUUUUUGGUGAGGCAAUUGGGGUUAAGUGACUUGCCCAGGGUCACACAGCUAGUGUUAGGUGUCUGAGGCCGAAUUUGAACUCAGGUCCUCCUGAAUCCAGGGCCCGUGCUUUAUCCACUGCUCCAUCUAGCUGCCCCUACAAUCAUCUUUUUUUAAAAAAAGACUUAAUUUUUUUGUUAUUCCAAAUUUGACCAACAGCAGCAAAUGUGAGCAUUUCCAUAUACAAAGAAUGUACAUGAAACUAUGACUCUCAAUUACUUACAGCUUACUUAUUUUAAAUCUUUUAAUUCAUUUUAAACUUAAAUACAAAAUGAACAGGGGGAAAGAACAUUUCUACAUAUACAGCAGAACAUAAGGGAUGUAAUAUAAAACCAUGAAUUUCCAUUUCAGACUGUUUACUUUGUUGUUGUUGUUUUUUUUUUUAGUGAGGCAAUGGGGUUAAGUGACUUGCCCAGGGUCA